AUUGAACGCUGGCGGCAGGCCUAACACAUGCAAGUCGAGCGGAGCGGCGGACGGGUGAGUAAUGCCUAGGAAUCUGCCUGGUAGUGGGGGAUAACGUCCGGAAACGGGCGCUAAUACCGCAUACUAUCAGAUGAGCCGAGGUCGGAUUAGCUAGUUGGUGGGGUAAAGGCCUACCAAGGCGACGAUCCGUAACGGGUCUGAGAGGAUGAUCAGUCAAACUGGAACUGGGAACCGGUCCAGACUCCUAGGGAAGGAGGCAGUGGGAAAUAUUGGACAAUGGGCGAAAGCCUGAUCCGGCCAUGCCGCGUGUGUGAGGAGGGUCUUCGGAUUGUAAAGCACUUUAAGUUGGGAGGCGGUACCAACAGAGUAAGCACCGGCUAACUUCGUGCCAGCCGCCGCGGUAAUAC
rnacentral:rRNA from 1 species